GAGAAGAAGAUAACAUCCCAAUACAGAUGAGGGGAAUCCAAAGUGAAUAUCUUAAAAAUCGGGAAAACCUAUAGCAAAUCUAAAUGACAAAAAAUACUUCUCACUCUACAACUUAACAUCUCCUUGAAUCCAAUCAAAUCAGACUAAUCAUAAUUUGCUCAUGCUCCACGCUCAUUUUCAGCGAGCAUAUAUUUCAUAUACAGACACACGUAUAUACAUAUAUAGAGGUAUCCGUAAAUGCAAGGAGAAAAACAAAGGAGAGAAUCCAUUCCAAAUUCCUACAAAAAAAAAGCUUUUCUUCUUCUUAAGAUUUCUUUUUCUUUAUUCGAGAUUUUUAUUGAAAAGCCACAACAGAGAGCUAUUAUGCAGCAUUCAAAACCAUUUGAAAUGGAAUCAAACAGUAGAUCAAGAGAAAUCAAUAGCAGAUCAACUUCACUAGGGAUCCAAUUCAUCAGAUCCAGAAUUAUAUAAAAUUCAACCUUUGAAAACCCAAUAAUGGCUACAUCUAACAAUUUGCAUCCAAGAUAUAGAAACUACUCAUUUCCCACCAAGAAAUCCAACCUUUUACCACUUUUUCUAUAGAUCUCAAAACAGAAGCCCACAUAUAUCUCACAAUUUUAUUGGCUUUUUCACAUAGCUCAAUCCAAUGAAAAUCUAAAAGAAACAU
rnacentral:lncRNA from 1 species